GUGUCAGCCGCCGCGGUAAGACAGAGGGUGCAAACGUUGUUCGGAAUUACUGGGCGUAAAGCGCGUGUAGGCGGUUCGGAAAGUCGGGUGUGAAAGCCCUGGGCUCAACCCAGGAAGUGCACUCGAAACUCCCGAGCUGGAGUCCUGGAGAGGAAGGCGGAAUUCUCGGUGUAGAGGUGAAAUUCGUAGAUAUCGAGAGGAACAUCGGUGGCGAAGGCGGCCUUCUGGACAGCGACUGACGCUGAGACGCGAAAGCGUGGGGAGCAAACAGGAUUAGAUACCCUAGUAGUCC
rnacentral:rRNA from 1 species